GAUGAACGCUGGCGGCGUGCCUUACAUGCAAGUCGAGCGAACGGACGAGAAGCUUGCUUCUCUGAUGUUAGCGGCGGACGGGUGAGUAACACGUGGAUAACCUACCUAUAAGACUGGGAUAACUUCGGGAAACCGGAGCUAAUACCGGAUAAUAUUUUGAACCGCAUGGUUCAAAAGUGAAAGACGGUCUUGCUGUCACUUAUAGAUGGAUCCGCGCUGCAUUAGCUAGUUGGUAAGGUAACGGCUUACCAAGGCAACGAUGCAUAGCCGACCUGAGAGGGUGAUCGGCCACACUGGAACUGAGACACGGUCCAGACUCCUACGGGAGGCAGCAGUAGGGAAUCUUCCGCAAUGGGCGAAAGCCUGACGGAGCAACGCCGCGUGAGUGAUGAAGGUCUUCGGAUCGUAAAACUCUGUUAUUAGGGAAGAACAUAUGUGUAAGUAACUGUGCACAUCUUGACGGUACCUAAUCAGAAAGCCACGGCUAACUACGUG
rnacentral:rRNA from 1 species